UACGUAGGGUGCGAGCGUUGUCCGGAAUUAUUGGGCGUAAAGGGCUCGUAGGCGGUCUGUUGCGUCGGGAGUGAAAACUCAGGGCUUAACCCUGAGCCUGCUUCCGAUACGGGCAGACUAGAGGUAUGCAGGGGAGAACGGAAUUCCUGGUGUAGCGGUGAAAUGCGCAGAUAUCAGGAGGAACACCGGUGGCGAAGGCGGGUCUCUGGGCAGUAACUGACGCUGAGGAACGAAAGCGUGGGUAGCGAACAGG
rnacentral:rRNA from 1 species